rnacentral:rRNA from 1 species
GACAGUUCGGUCCCUAUCUGCCGUGGGCGUAGGAGAAUUGGUUGGGGCUGCUCCUAGUACGAGAGGACCGGAGUGGACGCACCACUGGUGUUCUGGUUGUGUCGCCAGACGCAUUGCCGGGUAGCUAAGUGCGGAAGAGAUAAGUGCUGAAAGCAUCUAAGCACGAAACUUGCCAAGAGAUGAGUUCUCCCAAUCUAAGAGAUAGUAAGGGUUGUUGUAGA